GACAGAGGGUGCAAACGUUGUUCGGAAUUACUGGGCGUAAAGCGCGUGUAGGCGGCCGAGUAAGUCGGGUGUGAAAGCCCAGGGCUCAACCUUGGAAGUGACACUCGAAACUGACACGGCUGAGUCUCGGAGAGGGAAGUGGAAUUCUGGGUGUAGAGGUGAAAUUCGUAGAUAUCCAGAGGAACACCAGUGGCGAAGGCGACUUCCUGGACGAGUACUGACGCUGAGACGCGAAAGCGUGGGGAGCAAACAGAAUA
rnacentral:rRNA from 1 species